UACGUAGGGUGCAAGCGUUGUCCGGAAUUAUUGGGCGUAAAGAGCUCGUAGGCGGUCUGUCGCGUCUGCUGUGAAAACUCGGGGCUUAACCCCGGGCCUGCAGUGGGUACGGGCAGACUAGAGUGCAGUAGGGGAGACUGGAAUUCCUGGUGUAGCGGUGGAAUGCGCAGAUAUCAGGAGGAACACCGGUGGCGAAGGCGGGUCUCUGGGCUGUAACUGACGCUGAGGAGCGAAAGCGUGGGUAGCGAACAGG
rnacentral:rRNA from 1 species